AGCGAACGCUGGCGGCAGGCUUAACACAUGCAAGUCGAGCGGGCGUAGCAAUACGUCAGCGGCAGACGGGUGAGUAACGCGUGGGAACAUACCUUUUGGUUCGGAACAACACAGGGAAACUUGUGCUAAUACCGGAUAAGCCCUUACGGGGAAAGAUUUAUCGCCGAAAGAUUGGCCCGCGUCUGAUUAGCUAGUUGGUGAGGUAACGGCUCACCAAGGCGACGAUCAGUAGCUGGUCUGAGAGGAUGAUCAGCCACAUUGGGACUGAGACACGGCCCAAACUCCUACGGGAGGCAGCAGUGGGGAAUAUUGGACAAUGGGCGCAAGCCUGAUCCAGCCAUGCCGCGUGAGUGAUGAAGGCCCUAGGGUUGUAAAGCUCUUUUGUGCGGGAAGAUAAUGACGGUACCGCAAGAAUAAGCCCCGGCUAACUUCGUGCCAGCAGCCGCGGUAAUACGAAGGGGGCUAGCGUUGCUCGGAAUCACUGGGCGUAAAGGGUCCGUAGGCGGUGCGGCAAGUCGGAAGUGAAAUCUCUGGGCUUAACCCAGAGGCUGCUCCCGAAACUGCCGUGCUAGAGGAUGAGAGAGGCGAGUGGAAUUGCGGGUGUAGCGGUGAAAUGCGUAGAUAUCUGCAGGAACACCCGUGGCGAAAGCGGCGCGCUGGACCACUACUGACGCUGAGGAACGAAAGCUAGGGGAGCAAACAGGAUUAGAUACCCUGGUAGUCCUAGCCCUAAACGAUCAGGACUUGGGGUGCCACCCGUUCGGGUGUCGUCCCGGAGCUAACGCGUUAAGUCCUGCACCUGGGG
rnacentral:rRNA from 1 species